UACGUAGGGUGCAAGCGUUGUCCGGAAUUAUUGGGCGUAAAGAGCUCGUAGGCGGCUUGUCGCGUCGACUGUGAAAACCCGCGGCUCAACCGUGUGGUCUGCAGUCGAUACGGGCAGGCUAGAGUUCGGUAGGGGAGACUGGAAUUCCUGGUGUAGCGGUGAAAUGCGCAGAUAUCAGGAAGAACACCCGUGGCGAAGGCGGGUCUCUGGACAGUUCCUGACGCUGAGGCACGAAGGCCAGGGGAGCAAACGGGG
rnacentral:rRNA from 1 species